GCCGGAGCAGCGGCGAAGCAUCGCUCGGUGAGGGGCGGAGCGCUCGGGCGGGUCGGUCGGGCCUCCCGCCCCGAAAAUUGUGUGGUAGUGGAUAAUGAGGCUGGUGCCCUGCUCUCCGGGUGUGGGCGCGGGGAUUGCGCUGCCUGCCCGUGUCGCCAGGGCCUCAGGGCCUCCCCAGGGCCGCCACUUGUGUUGCAUUUGCCGUCCCAGGACCUCGGUGUCCGACCUGAGGCUCCCGAACUGCUCCUCGCUGGCUGGUUUUCUGAGAGGAGAAACUGGCAGAGGACCUUGGAUUGGGCAAUGUUUACAGCAGUCCAGAUGUGAAGGCUGGUGCCUCAUUAAGUCACCCUGAUCUUCUAAUCCCAGAGGUGUUCACAAAAGAAGUUCCAAAUAAAUAUCAACAGAAGUAAGCACAUGCAGCCAAUGUCAGUGUUCUGGACCUUGAAAUGCAGCUAGUAGGUU